rnacentral:tRNA from 1 species
GCAGGCGUGGCGGAAUUGGUAGACGCGCGGGAUUUAGGUUCCCGUGUUAUAAAGAUGUGAGAGUUCGAGUCUCUCCGCCUGUA